AAGUCGUAACAAGGUUUCCGUAGGUGAACCUGCGGAAGGAUCAUUAACAUCUUUUGGAAUGUGGUGGUGUGGUGUUUCGGCACUCAUCAUCCUCAACCCCAUUGUGUGCAUGUAUGUGUUGUGUCGUGAGUUGGUAAAGCUUCGGCUUAGCCUUCACCUCACUUCACCUUUCACUUUUAACCCCAAACCCCUUCUUCUCAUCACACUAGACUGACUUUCAAUCCUCGUUUUCGCUCCCUACCAACGGAGCAAAACAUCAAUCAGCAUACAACUCUUAGCAACGGAUAUCUAGGCUCUC
rnacentral:misc_RNA from 1 species